rnacentral:rRNA from 1 species
AGUGAACGCUGGCGGUAGGCCUAACACAUGCAAGUCGAACGGCAGCACAGUAAGAGCUUGCUCUUACGGGUGGCGAGUGGCGGACGGGUGAGGAAUAUAUCGGAAUCUACUUUUUCGUGGGGGAUAACGUAGGGAAACUUACGCUAAUACCGCAUACGACCUACGGGUGAAAGCAUGGGAUCUUCUGACCUUGCGCGAUUGAAUGAGCCGAUGUCGGAUUAGUUAGUUGGCGGGGUAAUGGCCCACCAAGGCGCCGAUCCGUAGCUGGUCUGAGAGGAUGAUCAGCCACACUGGAACUGAGACACGGUCAAGACUCCUACGGGAGGCAGCAGUGGGGAAUAUUGGACAAAGGGCGCAAGCCUGAUCCAGCCAUACCGCGUGGGUGAAGAAGGCCUUCGGGUUGUAAAGCCCUUUUGUUGGGAAAGAAAAGCAGCAGGUUAAUACCCCGCUGUUCUGACGGUACCCAAAGAAUAAGCACCGGCUAACUUCGUG